UGGGGAAUAUUGGACAAUGGGCGCAAGCCUGAUCCAGCCAUGCCGCGUGAGUGAUGAAGGCCCUAGGGUUGUAAAGCUCUUUCACCGGUGAAGAUAAUGACGGUAACCGGAGAAGAAGCCCCGGCUAACUUCGUGCCAGCAGCCGCGGUAAUACGAAGGGGGCUAGCGUUGUUCGGAUUUACUGGGCGUAAAGCGCACGUAGGCGGACUAUUAAGUCAGGGGUGAAAUCCCGGGGCUCAACCCCGGAACUGCCUUUGAUACUGGUAGUCUUGAGUUCGAGAGAGGUGAGUGGAAUUCCGAGUGUAGAGGUGAAAUUCGUAGAUAUUCGGAGGAACACGAGUGGCGAAGGCGGCUCACUGGCUCGAUACUGACGCUGAGGUGCGAAAGCGUGGGGAGCAAACAGG
rnacentral:rRNA from 1 species